UUCUUAAAGAUUAUAAUUUUAAGUAAAAUCUGCUCAAUGAAAAUUUAAAUAGCCGCAGAACAUAUCUGUGCUAAGGUAGCAUAAUCAUUAGUCUUUUAAUUAAAGACCAGAAUGAAAGAUUAAACAUUUUAAAAACUUUUUUAAAACUUUUAUUUAAAAAUUUUACUAAACAUAAAAAUAUGUUUUUAUAAAAAAAAGACGACAAGACCCUGUCGAACUUCACUUUAGUUUAGCUGGGGCAGCUAAUUAAAAAUAAUUUUAAUUUAAGUAAUUAAAAAGAAUAGAUCCAAUAAUUAAUUGAACCUACGAACAAGUUACCGCAGGGAUAACAGCGUAAUUUACUUUAAAAGCUCUUAUUUAAAAGUAAGAUUGCGACCUCGAUGUUGAAUAAUUUUCUAUAAAACGCAAAUGUUUUAAAAGUAAGUCUGUUCGACUUUUAAAUAAUUACA
rnacentral:rRNA from 1 species